GACGAACGCUGGCGGCGUGCCUAAUACAUGCAAGUAGAACGCUGAAGGAGGAGCUUGCUUCUCUGGAUGAGUUGCGAACGGGUGAGUAACGCGUAGGUAACCUGCCUGGUAGCGGGGGAUAACUAUUGGAAACGAUAGCUAAUACCGCAUAAUAGUAGAUGUUGCAUGACAUUUUCUUAAAAGGUGCAAUUGCAUCACUACCAGAUGGACCUGCGUUGUAUUAGCUAGUUGGUGGGGUAACGGCUCACCAAGGCGACGAUACAUAGCCGACCUGAGAGGGGGGGCGGCCACACUGAGAGUGAGACCCGGCCCAGACUCCUACGGGAGGCAGCAGUAGGGAUUCUUCGGCCAUGGGCGGAAGUCUGACCGAGCAAGGCCGCGUGAGUGUGGAGGGUUUUCGGAUCGUAAAGCUCGGUUGUCAGGGAAGAACGAGUGUGAGGGUGGAAAGUUCACACUGUGACGGUAUCUUACCAGAAAGGGACGGCUAACUACGUG
rnacentral:rRNA from 1 species